rnacentral:siRNA from 1 species
UCAAUUCGACCCUUGGGAGCUAC